AAUCCUCAAAACCCUGUUCUUCAAUUGGAGAAAGGGUUUUGGACUUGGAGGAUCAAUGCUUGCCCUUAUUCUUAUUGAAGGCAAAGCUCCUCUUAAAUAAAUUAGUGGGGUUUGCUUUGCCGAUCCUUGACGGUGAUAAGAACAUUUCUACGUUUUGGAUUUGGUGACCGUCCCUUGCUUCUAACCGUCUUACAUUCAAGACAGAGUUUAUGAA
rnacentral:misc_RNA from 1 species